rnacentral:lncRNA from 1 species
AUGUCUUCUCAUGCUCCAGCCUCUAAUAUUGUGAGGUAUUGGUCUCCACCUAACGGUAAUUUUGUGAAGAUAAAUGUGGAUGGUGCUGUCAAUUUGCUGAUUGGUUUUAGAGGUUUGGGGAUUGUCAUACGAGAUAGUAUGGGUGAUUUACUGCUGGCUGCUUAUAAAGGUCUUCAUGGCAUGUUUUCUCCUAAAGCUACUAAACUUUAUGCAGCAAUUAUGAGAUUACAAAUUGCCAGUCAAAUGGGACAUCGUUCUGUCAUUUUGGAAAUGGAUGCCAAAGAGAUUAUUAUGAAUCUUCAAACUUAUGAGCAAAGUUGGUUAGUGGAGGGUGCUUUAGUGGAUGAAGUCAGGGGCCUUUUUAAUCGUUUUGAUCAUAUUUCUUGUCACUUUGCUCCUCGGGAGCGUAACCAGGUUGCCCAUUUAUUGGCUAAGCAGGCGCUCCUGCCUCAGGACUUUCAAGUGUGGUUAGAGGAUGAUCCUUUAUGGAUUUCUAAUGUUUUGGCCAAUGACAAAUUAUUUACUAAAUUUAAUUUUAUACUGGAUGUGAUGUAG